CGAGGGGCAGCACGAGGUAGCAAUACUUUGGUGGCGACCGGCAGACGGGUGAGUAACGCGUAUGUAACCUACCUUGUACAGGGGGAUAACCCGGAGAAAUUCGGACUAAUAUCCCAUGGAAAUAUUGGAAGGCAUCUUUUGAUAUUUAAAGUUCCGGCGGUACGGGAUGGGCAUGCGUAACAUUAGCUGGUUGGUAGGGUAACGGCCUACCAAGGCUUUGAUGUUUAGGGGUCCUGAGAGGGUGAUCCCCCACACUGGUACUGAGACACGGACCAGACUCCUACGGGAGGCAGCAGUGAGGAAUAUUGGUCAAUGGGCGCAAGCCUGAACCAGCCGUCCCGCGUGCAGGAAGACGGCCCUAUGGGUUGUAAACUGCUUUUCCAGGAGGAGAAACUUGCGUACGCGUUGCGCAAUUGACGGUACCCUGGGAAUAAGCAUCGGCUAACUCCGUGCCAGCAGCCGCGGUAAUACGGAGGAUGCGAGCGUUAUCCGGAUUCAUUGGGUUUAAAGGGUGCGUAGGCGGACUAUUAAGUCAGUGGUGAAAUCCUGCAGCUUAACUGCAGAACUGCCAUUGAUACUG
rnacentral:rRNA from 1 species